ACUGAGGUUGAAAAGCUCAUAAAUGCUAAUUCAACUGAGGUUGAUUGGGAACGUUCCUUCUAUUUGAAUUUAGUCGCUCACACGUCAUAUACUGUCACAGUGGCAUUGUGCAGUAUCAGCAAUCUUCGCAAUCGUGCAGACAAAAGCAAGCGGUUGCCUCCAAUUUACAAGGUUUCAAAAACUGUAUAUGCAUCCCCUAGCCGUGUAAAUUUCCGCCUUGAUCAAAGAAAGGCUGUAGAGACAGUACCUGCAUAUCCGAACAUUUAUUUCUCAGUUGAUGACUUCGAUGAUCCUUUUGAUGCUGUGGUUUUGUCAGACCCAGAACACUGCUAUUGUGUGAUUCUCAAUGCGCAUGAUGGGGCGGCAUUUCCUGAAGAAAGCGAAUCAAGCAAUGUCGGUUCAAAUAUACAAUCUGGGAUCAACUCUGGGAGCAGUGGAGAGAACCCACCAAAGGUUCACUCUCUUCCUAAAUGAAGGUUUCA